ACGGAGGGAGCUAGCGUUGUUCGGAAUUACUGGGCGUAAAGCGCGCGUAGGCGGCUAUUCAAGUCAGAGGUGAAAGCCCGGGGCUCAACUCCGGAACUGCCUUUGAAACUAGAUAGCUAGAAUAUGGGAGAGGUGAGUGGAAUUCCGAGUGUAGAGGUGAAAUUCGUAGAUAUUCGGAAGAACACCAGUGGCGAAGGCGACUCACUGGACCAUUAUUGACGCUGAGGUGCGAAAGCGUGGGGAGCAAACAGG
rnacentral:rRNA from 1 species